rnacentral:rRNA from 1 species
AAGGCGACGAUCCGUAACUGGUCUGAGAGGAUGAUCAGUCACACUGGAACUGAGACACGGUCCAGACCACUACGGGAGGCAGCAGUGGGGAAUAUUGGACAAUGGGCGAAAGCCUGAUCCAGCCAUGCCGCGUGUGUGAAGAAGGUCAAAGGAUUGUAAAGCACUUAAAGUUGGGAGGAAGGGCAUUAACCUAAUACGUUAGUGUUUUGACGUUACCGACAGAAUAAGCACCGGCUAACUCUGUGCCAGCAGCCGCGGUAAUACAGAGGGUGCAAGCGUUAAUCGGAAUUACUGGGCGUAAAGCGCGCGUAGGUGGUACGUUAAGUUGGAUGUGAAAUCCCCGGGCUCAACCUGGGAACUGCAUUCAAAACUGUCGAGCUAGAGUAUGGUAGAGGGUGGUGGAAUUAACUGUGUAGCGGUGAAAUGCGUAGAUAUAGGAAGGAACACCAGUGGCGAAGGCGACCACCUGGACUGAUACUGACACUGAGGUGCGAAAGCGUGGGGAGCAAACAGGAUAAGAUACCCUGGUAGUCCACGCCGUAAACGAUGUCAACUAGCCGUUGGGAGCCUUGAGCUCU